GGAUGGUUAGAUUAAAUUUUGCCCUCUAUAUCUCCUUUUCGGACUCUAGCCUAAACAUGUGAAGUUUCUAAAUAUAAAAAUUUAAAAUAAAUAAAAAAAAUUAUUAAUAGACUUAUCUGUUAUGAUGGCUGUAACAACGAGCCCAGCUGAUCAUGCGAUGCGGAUUUUAGAGAAUCUUAACGACCGUAUUAUGGAUGGCAUCUCAGAAGCUCUAAGGUUGCUGGCCCCAAAGCCUCUACACGACCUCCUCCACAUG
rnacentral:lncRNA from 1 species